UACAGAGGCCCCGAGCAUUAUCCGGAAUCACUGGGCGUAAAGGGUGUGUAGGCGGCUAUGUUAGUCUUUUGUGAAAGAUCCCUGGCUUAACCAGGGAGACGCAGGGGAAACGGCAUAGCUUUUGAGGAUAUGAGAGGUAAAGGGAACUCAUGGUGUAGGGGUGAAAUCCGUUGAUAUCAUGGGGAACACCAAAUGCGAAGGCACUUUACUGGCAUACACCUGACGCUGAAACACGAAAGCGUGGGAAUCGAAUGGG
rnacentral:rRNA from 1 species